UACGUAGGGUGCGAGCGUUAAUCGGAAUUACUGGGCGUAAAGCGUGCGCAGGCGGUUCGUUAAGUCAGAUGUGAAAGCCCCGGGCUCAACCUGGGAACUGCAUUUGAAACUGGCGGGCUUGAGUGUGGCAGAGGGGGGUGGAAUUCCGCGUGUAGCAGUGAAAUGCGUAGAGAUGGGGGAGAACACUCGUGGCGAAGGCGGCCAGCUAGACCAGUUCUGACACUGAGGCGCGACAGCGUGGGGAGCAAACAGG
rnacentral:rRNA from 1 species